rnacentral:rRNA from 1 species
UACGGAGGGUGCAAGCGUUAUCCGGAUUCACUGGGUUUAAAGGGUGCGUAGGCGGGUAAGUAAGUCCGUGGUGAAAUCUCUGAGCUUAACUCAGAAACUGCCGUGGAUACUAUUUGCCUUGAAUAUUGUGGAGGUGAGCGGAAUAUGUCAUGUAGCGGUGAAAUGCUUAGAUAUGACAUAGAACACCAAUUGCGAAGGCAGCUCACUACACAAUUAUUGACGCUGAGGCACGAAAGCGUGGGGAUCAAACAGGA